UAAACUAGGAUUAGAUACCCUAUUAUUUUGAAUGUAAAUUAUUACCUAGGUAAUAAUAGUUUUGUUCUUUAAACCUAAAGAAUUUGGCGGUGUUUUAGUCUAUUCAGAGGAAUUUGUCCCUUAAUCGAUAAUCCUCGUUUUAUCUUACUUGAUUUAUUUUAAUAUGUAUAUCGCCGUUACAAGUUUAUUUUUUGAGAAAAUUUACUGGAAAAUUUAUUUAUUUUUAUUUCAGGUCAAGGUGCAGUUUAUAAUUAAGUGGAGAUGAAUUACAAUAAUAUCUUAUUAUAUGGAUAUAAAUUUUAAAAUGUUAUUGAAAGUGGAUUUGUUUGUAAUUUUUAUUAUAGUUUAAGUUUGAUUUUGGCUCUAAAAUGAGUACACAUCG
rnacentral:rRNA from 1 species